rnacentral:rRNA from 1 species
GACGAACGCUGGCGGCGUGCUUAACACAUGCAAGUCGAACGGAAAGGCCCUGCUUUUGUGGGGUGCUCGAGUGGCGAAAGGGUGAGUAACACGUGAGUAACCUGCCCUUGACUUUGGGAUAACUUCAGGAAACUGGGGCUAAUACCGGAUAGGAGCUCCUGCUGCAUGGUGGGGGUUGGAAAGUUUCGGUGGUUGGGGAUGGACUCGCGGCUUUUCAGCUUGUUGGUGUGGUAGUGGCUUACCAAGGCUUUGACGGGUAGCCGGCCUGAGAGGGUGACCGGCCACAUUGGGACUGAGAUACGGCCCAGACUCCUACGGGAGGCAGCAGUGGGGAAUAUUGCACAAUGGGCGGAAGCCGAAGGCAGCAACGCCGCGUGCGGGAUGACGGCCUUCGGGUGGUAAACCGCUUUCGCCUGUGACGAAGCGUGAGUGACGGAAAUGGGGAAAGGAGCACCGGCGAACUACGU